UAGUUUACGUCCUCCAACUACUGCUUACCGGCAGCGUUUAGUUUGUUUAAAAGCUUGAUGGAAUUUUAAAUAGCUACCAUGUUGCCUCCUCUAUUAAUUCACUACCGCUUGCUGAUAUAGUCAGUAGUAGUCCUCGCCUUGAAGAAAUACUUGUUUUGGUUUAGUUUACUCACAUAGUGUCAAAUUCUAUCACUGCCUUGGCGACAAUUAAUGCACGUCCACAACGGCCUUCAGAAUUAAGUGAGUAGUAGUUAAUGGUAUUUGCAUGUACCGCAGUAUAUAGAGGGACCCGUGGAGUCGAGGCAUGGAUCCCAACCGGAUAAUUCAAGCUCUGAGAGGAACCAUCGAUCCUAACCUCAGAAGAGCGGCCGAAGAUGAACUCAAUCAGUCCUACAAAAUCAUCAACUUUGCACCAACUCUACUUCAGAUCAUUAUAUCAGAGCAGGUGGAGUUUCCAGUUCGACAGGCAGCGGCUAUCUAUCUGAAGAACAUGAUUGGCCAGUAUUGGCAGGACAGGGAGCCGUCUCUGGGAAAAGUGGUGUUCCCCUUCAAUAUUCAUGAAAACGACCGCCAGCAGAUCAGAAACCACAUUGUGGAGGGUGUCAUCCGCUGUCCUGAGACCAUACGCGCCCAGCUGACGAUGUGUCUUCGGACUAUCAUCAAACAUGACUUCCCAGGACGUUGGACUGCCAUAGUGGACAAGUUGAGCUUGUACUUGCAGUCGAACAACAGCGGCAGCUGGUAUGGCAGCCUGCUGGCUCUCUACCAACUUGUCAAAACCUACGAGUACAGGAAGGCAGAUGAGAGGGAGCCCUUGCUUGCAGCCAUGCAAAUCUUUCUGCCCAGGAUUCAGCAACUCAUCAUCCAGCUGCUUACUGAUGCCACAAUCUUCUCUGUCCUCAUUCAAAAACAAAUCCUUAAAAUCUUCCAUUCUCUCAUACAGUACUCGCUGCCUCUCCAGCUGAUCAACAAUUCAGUGAUGACUCAAUGGAUGGAAAUCUUUCGAGCCGUAAUGGACCGUGGCGUUCCUUCCGAGACUUUGGAGGUGGAUGAAGAUGACCGUCCUGAGUUAGCAUGGUGGAAGUGUAAAAAAUGGGCACUGCGUGUCAUUACGAGACUGUUCAAGCGAUAUGGGAGCCCAGGCAAUGUGACAAAAGAGUACUUUGAGUUUGCAGAUUUCUUCUUGAAGACCUAUGCAGUGGGCUUACAGCAAGUCUUGUUGAAGGUAGUGGAUCAAUACAGGCAGAAGGAGUAUGUUACUCCUCGUGUUCUCCAGCAGUGUCUCAACUACCUCAACCAGGGACUUUCUCAUUCGCUGACGUGGAAACAGAUAAAGCCUCACAUGCAGACGAUUUGUCAGGAAGUGAUCUUCCCUCUCAUGUGUUACAAAGAUGAGGACGAGAGGCUGUGGCAGGAAGACCCAUUUGAAUACAUCCGCAUGAAGUUUUACCUCUAUGAUGAUCAUGCCUUUCCAGCCACUGCUGCACAGAGCCUUUUGUGCAAUGCUGCGCGAAAGAGGAAGGAGGUUCUGCCUCAAAUGAUGGAGUUCUGCCAUCAGAUACUUAUGGAUCCCAUGUCUGACUCCCGAAGGAAAGAUGGAGCACUGCACUGCAUUGGAGCGCUAGCUGAGCUACUACUGAAGAAGCGGAUUUACAUGGAGCAGAUGGAGUUGAUGCUGCAAAACUACGUCUUCCCUUUGCUCAACUCUCGAUUGGGUUACUUGCGAGCCAGGUCAUGCUGGGUCCUCCACUGCUUCAGUCAGCUGAGUUUCCAUAAUGUGAUGGCGUUGAGGAAUGCCGUGGAGUUGGUCAAGAAGGACCUGGUUGAUGACAAUGAAAUGCCAGUUAAGGUGGAGGCAGCCAUUGCUUUACAAAUGUUGAUCACCCAUCAGGAAGAGGCAAAGCUGUACAUCAGGCCGCACAUUCGACCUGUCAUGCAACAGCUGCUCCAUGUGGUCAAAGAGACAGAGAAUGAUGAUUUGACAAAUGUCAUUCAGAAGAUGAUCUGCGAGUACAACGAAGAGGUUGCGGCAAUUGCUGUCGACAUGACACAGAACCUGGCAGAGAUCUUUACCAGGGUUCUUCAGAGUGAGGAGUACGAGGAGAAUGAGGACAAGACAGUCAUGGCCCUUGGCAUCCUCAGCACCAUCGACACCAUUCUCACGGUCAUGGAGGACCACAAGGAGAUCACUCAACAGCUGGAGGAUAUCUGUUUGCAGGUGAUUGGCCUGGUCUUGCAGAAACCUAUCAUAGGUAUGCCAGAAUUCUAUGAGGAGAUCCUGUCUCUGGCAUUUGGACUUACAUGCCAGACCAUCUCCCCCCAGAUGUGGCAGCUGCUGAGCGUCCUGUAUGAGGUCUUUCAGCAUGACUGCUUUGACUACUUCACUGAUAUGAUGCCACUUUUGCAUAACUACGUCACUGUGGAUACAAAUGUCUUCAUCGCCAACCCCAAGAACUUGGAGAUCAUCUACAGCAUGUGCAAAAAGGUGCUGACCACAGAUUCAGGUGAGGAAGCAGAGUGUCACGCUGCCAAACUGUUGGAGGUGAUGAUACUGCAGUGCAAAGGCAGAGGGAUUGACCAGUGUAUCCCUCUGUUCGUGGAGGCAGUGCUGGAGCGUUUGACGCGCGGCGUCAAGUCCAACAAGCUUAGGAUCACGUGCCUGGAGGUGGUCAUCGCUGCUCUUUACUACAGCCCAGCCCUUCUCAUGCACACUUUGGACAACACACACUUCUCCCAGAACCCACAGACCAUCACUGCCCACUUCAUCAACCAGUGGAUGAACGACACAGAAUUCUUCCUUGGGCUCCAUGACCGUAAGAUGUGCAUCAUUGGCCUGACUGUGCUGAUGGAGCUUCCGAGCCGUCCAGCGGCGCUGGAGAGCGUCGCCAGCCAAAUCCUCCCUUCUGUGCUGCUCCUCUUCUUGGGCCUCAAGCACCUCUCCGCUUCCCGUAACAUCAACAAACCUGACCUGCUGGCCCACGCAAGGGCUUUGGAUGAAGAUCAAAAUGAGGAGAUUCCCACUGAUGAGGAUGAAGUGAAUGAGAAAUGUAGUAUUAUGCAGCAGCAGUCCAGCGUGCCAAUGGGCCUGGGAGAUGAGAGCAACGAUGACGAUGACUACUGGGAUGAUGAUGAUGAUGAUGAUAGCUUUGAAGGAACGCCUCUGGAAGAGUACAGCACACCCGUUGACUAUGACAACGGAGAAGAUGAGUAUCAGUUCUUUGCAUCUGCCCUGCUCAGUAAGUCAACUUUUUUUCCUCCCCCUCUGCACAUUUGUGAACACUGCCUCUGUUUUUUUUUUGUUUAUGCGAAGCCCAGCUCAAUAAAGUGUCAUCACUUUGGUAAUACUUCAAAAUGUGAAUGUCAGGGGUGCAGAAUUCGGAUCUGGCUUGGUACCAGUGUUUGACGGCGCCCCUCAGUGACGAUCAGAAAGCACAGCUGCAGGAGAUUUACAGCGUCUCGCAGCAGAGGAGGAGCACUGCCACCAAGGGCCAGUGAGUGCCGAUGAGGGACUGAGGAUUCUAAAGAGGAUUCGGAAGGCUGAUAUGACCUGACCUGAUCUGAAUGCUUUGCAAUUUCAGGCAACUUUAGCUCAGCAUUCUGUCAGGCUGGCUUUUCUGUCAUUUGGGACAUUGUGCAAUUCAUAUUGUCCCUACUAUAAUAUCCAACUGGGCAUACUGUAUUUAUAUUCCCUUGACAUUUAAAAAAAAAAAAAAAAAAAAAAAAAAAAAAAAAAAAAAAGAAAAGUAAUAAUGAUCAUUCUUACUGUUAGUAAACUGCAGUGUGUUCCUGUGUGUAGUUCUCAAAGAAUAAAACAAACACAAAUGUGGUUACAUGUAAUAUAAUCUCCUAUCGCUGUAGCAAAGGAUUUCUGUCAUCGGAUGGAAUUUAGCUGUAAAGAUUUUUGUCAGGGUAUUGUGUGUAGAAACCGCAGAAUUGACAAAUUACGUUUGAUAUAUCGUCUGCAAUCUCUGUACCCUGGCAAUGGUGUCACAAAUAAGAAAUGAAAGCUUGGCUUGGA